AGUGAACGCUGGCGGUAGGCCUGACACAUGCAAGUCGAACGGCAGCACAGUAAGAGCUUGCUCUUACGGGUGGCGAGUGGCGGACGGGUGAGGAAUACAUCGGAAUCUACUUUUUCGUGGGGGAUAACGUAGGGAAACUUACGCUAAUACCGCAUACGACCUACGGGUGAAAGCAGGGGAUCUUCGGACCUUGCGCGAUUGAAUGGGCCGAUGUCGGAUUAGCUAGUUGGCGGGGUAAAGGCCCACCAAGGCGACGAUCCGUAGCUGGUCUGAGAGGAUGAUCAGCCACACUGGAACUGAGACACGGUCCAGACUCCUACGGGAGGCAGCAGUGGGGAAUAUUGGACAAUGGGCGCAAGCCUGAUCCAGCCAUACCGCGUGGGUGAAGAAGGCCUUCGGGUUGUAAAGCCCUUUUGUUGGGAAAGAAAAGCAGCAGGUUAAUACCCCGCUGUUCUGACGGUACCCAAAGAAUAAGCACCGGCUAACUUCGUG
rnacentral:rRNA from 1 species